AACGAACGCUGGCGGCGUGCUUAACACAUGCAAGUCGAGCGAGAAAGGUACCUUCGGGUACUGAGUAAAGCGGCGAACGGGUGAGUAACACGUGAGUAACGUGCCCUUCAAUGGGGGAUAACAGUUUGAAAAGACUGCUAAUACCGCAUAAGACCACGACCUCUUAGGGGGAUGGGGUAAAAGGCUUCGGCCGUUGAAGGAUCGGCUCGCGGCCCAUUAGAUAGUUGGUGAGGUAAUGGCUCACCAAGUCUGAGAUGGGUAGCUGGUCUGAGAGGAUGAUCAGCCACACUGGGACUGAGACACGGCCCAGACUCCUACGGGAGGCAGCAGUGGGGAAUCUUGCGCAAUGGACGAAAGUCUGACGCAGCAACGCCGC
rnacentral:rRNA from 1 species